ACCGCCCUCGACUUCCUACGAACGAGGCGAACGCGAGUGUCGUCUUAUACCCGCGUUCAAAUCUCCGCCGCCAGCUGAGAUGAUCGGCUACAUUCGUGUUAUAAUAGGCGACAUCGCUCCAACUUCCCACAUCGAUGCGAGACUAUAUAUAAUGAUGGGCAUAUUCGAGCAGCUUCGCGUGCCUCAAAGCUGCUCUUCAUAUCUCUCUCAUUUCUUUCGCGACGUUAAAUCCGUAUCAUAAACUUCUCAUUAAUUCAAUCCAAUCGCUACAGGAAGUUGGAUUCGCGUGAUGAUAAUCGCGCAAGAGUUUUCGCCGUAACCGUCCUUAAUUACACGCGAUUUUCUACGGUCGACACGAAUAGGUGUAACUUAUAGUUCAUUAUAAGAUUUUUCCUAUACACCAGCUAUCUCGCCAGCUAUAAAUACUCUUUCUCUAUGUUCUGUAUGCGUAUAACGUGUAAUAAUCUUACCCAACAUCUCACCUAUUUGUAUAGAACACACAACAAUCAGCGGCGAUUCAUGAGUCGAGUAAAUUUUCUCAUCAAAUUUUGGUUCGUAUUUAUGAGUCUUUUUUUUUCAAUAUAGCCACAUACACACUACCCAUGUUUAUAUGUAGUACAUCGCUCAAAUUCUACAUAAGUAUAUGUGUGUGUAAUACAUGCAAUAAUUAUAUUUCUAAAUGCAUAUCGCGCGGAGACUCGGUCUUCGAUCAUUUUCAUGGCGUGCGAGGCAUCGGUAGCAAAAGGCUACGCGUCAAAACACGAUUGAAUAAAUCUUCACCACGCUCAAUUUAUAAUUCAUCGUUAUCUCCCGAGUGAUCCAAAGGUGAUUUAGUGCCGCAAGAGUUCCUAUGGAAUCGUACUUCUUGUCAACGAUGCUAAAGAACCAAAGGACUGCGGCCACGUACCAUAGUAAAACUUGUAUUCGUUUAUCCAUCCUAACAGAUAUGUGAGGCAUUCCAUGUCAAUUCGACGAUGAUUUUAACCCUCGAAAAUAAUCUCUCCAUUUUAGCUAUUUUCUAAAAUUUACAGCAUCAGAAAUACACCGAGAAUGAAUUUCUUACCUCUUGUUUUAUAAAUUUUACGUGUGAAGGUCACAGAAUGCACAAUAAUCUUUGAAUUCUCUGCUCACACCGAGUUGUGUGCGGAUGAGACCACGGUGUGUGGAGUUGCCCUCUCUUCGCGAAAUAACAUUGCUGGAGCGUGUAAAAGUUCCGCUUACCUCGCGUAGGUCGGACUCGGGAUUGUAAUAUCUGAAGAGCAGAUAUACAACUAAAUAUAAAUUAUGCAAACAAGGUUUGUUUGUGAUUGGAAAAUAUGCGAACGAUUACGAGUGCCCUAAGCACAGCGUAGGGGUCGACCGGAGGUUACGAUAUACGGAGGGUUUCAACGUCAGGCUAUGACAUCACCAAAAGCAGAGAUCAAGAAUGGACAAGAGAGACUGGACCCAAACAGGAUGCUAGGAUUCCUUCGCAUCAACUCGAUUCCGUGCAGUGAUUCUCAAUCGCGUUAUAUUUCAUCAUUUUGAUAACAAACGCGCUUCAAGUGUCAUCAAUCAAACAUUCCGGAAAUACAAGUGAAACGAAAAGACGUUAAUCGCAACGCGAGGGGUGGAAUACCAAAAGGUUUUACUCAAGAACCGAAAAAAUUUUAGGGGCAAUUCGUUUCUUAAUUACGUACAGAGCGAGAAUUUUCAUCGGCCUGAGAUGGUUACUUCAGACCGUCUUGAACUUGAAAGACCACAGAUGACCUAAGCUUGACUUUGCCGACGUCAUCUAGAAUGAAGUGAGUGAGAAUCGCCAGCUCAACUUCCAUUUCAUACCUCACAACUUUCGUACGAAUCUAUAUAUAUGUAAAAGAAUUUUUUUCCUCUCCUUUCUUUCUCCGAUUCACAAAAUUCGACCUUACGGGUGAAUUGAAAUGAAUCACCCUGCGUAAGUUCGUGGGGGUACGUCGCGACGCCUCUAAAGCCGGAUUCAGGUUAGAAGACGACCUUGGCCCAGUGGCCAGAAGAGAUAUACCGCGUUUUGCCAUGCACGAUAAAUGACGAACGACGUUUGCCGCUUCGGUAUGUAUAUCUAUAUAGCUUAGGAUCGUCGUGAGUCGCUUCGUGAUUAACUUGGAAUUACGAGAAUUUUGUCGAAAUUCUUGUCUGGUAUCUGCUACUGCACACUCGUGUAGUUAAGUAUAUAUUGAGUGUAAUGUGAUUCAUUCCGAUCGUCGAGCUGCGGGGUAUAAAAUGUCGGUACGUCGAUAUAUCACGAUUCCCAUGGCGUUUCAUCGAUUUCUAAUAAAUCAACGCAGCAGCUGCUUUUGCUGCAUCAGGUUGAAAAAAUUCUCAGGAAUUUGCAAUCUCAGUCUUUUGAUUUAUUACCUCAUUAUAUUUUUUACACGGUGAUAAACAAAAUCUGUGCAGUAAUACGUGUGUAUAAAUAUACCCAUGUACGGUGCAGGAUCAGGAGCACCUCGAAAGAUGAUAUUUAUGUAACGCGAAAAAAGCGAUCUUCGUUAAUCAAAUCGCAACAGCCUUUAAACUAUAUGACGCGACAUCGGUUGUUAAUAACGUCUGUCCGCCAGGGGCAUCUCUUAUCCGUUUCAGAAAUACCGUACAUUAAUAUAAAACGAAUUUGAAUAUUACAUGUGAAGCUGUGGAAAAAAAUAGAUACGAGAAAUUGCAAAUCAGGCAUUUUUAGAACGCCCAGCAAAUUCAAAAUAUGCGUCUUCCGGGUACGAUAAAGACGAUUUUAAUAUACCUCUAAUACCAAGUAUCCAACGUAACAACCUGUUAUUGUGAGAAUAUAAUCUCAACUUCAAUUGAAUUGUAAGGAUCGCAUAUUUGAUCGAUUUGCAAUUAUUUAGGGUACGAGUUUUACUCUUCGGAUGCCUGAAUUCGAGGGAUUCCCGAUCUUCAUUUCUCCUGAGGAAGAAUGGAAUCUGACUUCAACGUCCUUCUCACGCGUACAAAAAUUACAUUACACAUAAUCAUCUGGUUGUGAGUGGUUUGAAAUGAAAAUGAACAUAUUUCAGAAAUUGUCAAACGUCAUACGAUCCUCUCGUUUCUACAUUAAUGCCAAGAAAAUACCAAAGAAAUUAUACGCACAGGUACACGUGGGUGAAGAUCGAGAGGACCUCGUGACGCCUCUUCGCUUUUUCCCAAGGUCUAAAUCGUAGCGCAAGCACCUUAUAGCCCGAGCAUGUUAUUAUGUAUAUUCCGAGCACCUUUCAUAAUUCUUGCGCGUAGGUAAUGAGAAUUAUUUCUUCAACAUUUACGCACCUUACAUACACCGGAUACGUACGAGUACCUGCAGCAGUUUUGUCUUAAAUUUACGAUUUUCUUCUCAUCGCAAUAUAAUCCUCCCAGUCUCGCGGUCGUCUGUGCUCUGAAAUUACUCUUAUUAUUAUUCUUUUAUUACAGGGUUUCAUUUAUUUAUUGAGCCGACUCAAUUAAUCCAGCGUAUCAUUGCGAAAGAUAAUCGAGUGACAAAAAUCAGACGAGCAGUUUGUCUAUCGAGAUCAAGGAGUUUAUCUUUCUUCAAUCUCAUAAUUUAACUGGAUCACAUUUCCAUCGAUAAUAUACGAUUUUUCGGACGUAUGCGACGUUUUGAAUAAAGUUGUAUCCAAAAGUAUUUUUUCCCAUGGCGAUCGAAAUAAACUUACUUAUCUCUCGUACUUUCCACUAAAAUAAAGCCUCAAUGGAGAAAUAUGAAAGAUUGGCAGACCUACGGGCAAGUUGUAAUACAUUCGGUUGACGUCGUGCGUCAUACAAUCGUACAUAAUUUAUCAUUUCUGCGUUAAGAAACAAUAAUCAAUGAUAAAACCAGAUACGGCAGAACUGGAACUUUGAAAUUUAUGGAUACCCGCCGGUUCAAACUGAACCGUUAACUUAUUGUGUAAAACUAUGAAUAUCACCGCUUUAGUAAAAUCGUUGCAGACACGAAGCCUGUGAGAAAUUCUUUCUUUCUUUCAUCGUUAUAGAUAUGCUUUCUAGCCCGGCGGUGAGAGGUGAUCUUUAUAUGUAGAUUGUUUGUAAUUGUAUUGGUUAGUAUACAUGCAUGCGUACGUAAUGGAAUCGCCAUUUUCAUUCUGUACUAUUUUUCUUUAUUUUAUCUCGGCAUAAUAGUAAGGCUGUCAAGUUCACAUCUGAGCCCAGGGGGCAAACGUGCGCGGUGGAGAAAUUUUACGAUCACCUCAAGAUGAAACGGUGAAAAAAA